rnacentral:rRNA from 1 species
AACGCGAAGAACCUUACCUACCCUUGACAUGUCUGGAAUCCUGAAGGGAUUUAGGAGUGCUCGAAAGAGAGCCAGAACACAGGUGCUGCAUGGCCGUCGUCAGCUCGUGUCGUGAGAUGUUGGGUUAAGUCCCGCAACGAGCGCAACCCUUGUCAUUAGUUGCUACGAAAGGGCACUCUAAUGAGACUGCCGGUGACAAACCGGAGGAAGGUGGGGAUGACGUCAGGUCCUCAUGGCCCUUAUGGGUAGGGCUACACACGUCAUACAAUGGCCGGUACAGAGGGCUGCCAACCCGCGAGGGGGAGCCAAUCCCAGAAAACCGGUCGUAGUCCGGAUCGCAGUCUGCAACUCGACUGCGUGAAGUCGGAAUCGCUAGUAAUCGCGGAUCAGAUUGCCGCGGUGAAUACGUUCCCGGGUCUUGUACACACCG